rnacentral:rRNA from 1 species
CCUGGCGGCUUUAGCGCGGUGGUCCCACCUGACCCCAUGCCGAACUCAGAAGUGAAACGCCGUAGCGCCGAUGGUAGUGUGGGGUCUCCCCAUGUGAGAGUAGGACAUCGCCAGGC